UACGAAGGGGGCUAGCGUUGCUCGGAAUCACUGGGCGUAAAGGGCGCGUAGGCGGAUCUUUAAGUCGGGGGUGAAAGCCCAGGGCUCAACCCUGGAAUUGCCUUCGAUACUGAAGAUCUCGAGACCGGAAGAGGUAAGUGGAACUGCGAGUGUAGAGGUGAAAUUCGUAGAUAUUCGGAAGAACACCAGUGGCGAAGGCGACUAACUGGACAGGUAUUGACGCUGAGGUGCGAAAGCGUGGGGAGCAAACAGG
rnacentral:rRNA from 1 species